rnacentral:rRNA from 1 species
AAUUAACGCUGGCGGCGUGCCUAAGACAUGCAAGUCGAACGAGAAAUCAAUCUUCGGAAUGAGAGUAAAGUGGCGCACGGGUGAGUAAGACUUAAGUAACGUACCCUUUCGCUGGGGACAACAGGAGGAAACUCCUGCUAAUACCGAAUGACCCUUGAAGUUCUGCGGAGCUUUUAGGGAAAGCUUUCGAGCGCGAAAGGAGUGGCUUGAGUACCAUUAGCUUGUUGGUGGGGUAAGGGCCUACCAAGGCGACGAUGGUUAGCUGGUCUAAGAGGAUGAUCAGCCACACUGGUACUGGAAUACGGACCAGACUCCUACGGGAGGCAGCAGUUAGGAAUAUUGCGCAAUGGGGGAAACCCUGACGCAGCAACGCCGCGUGAGUGAGGAAGGCCUUCGGGUUGUAAAGCUCUUUUAGUAGGGAAGAAAUCACUGACGGUACCUACAGAAUAAGCACCGGCUAACUCCGUGCCAGCCGCCGCCGUAACAC